AACGGGUGAGUAACACGUAAGAAUCUACCCUUGANUGGGGAAUACCUCUGAGAAAUUGGAGUUAAUACCACAUAAGUCUCUUCNGANAGAAAGGUGNCGUAAUGCUGCCGCUGAAGGAUGAGCUUGCGGCCUAUUAGCUAGUUGGUGUGGUAAGAGCGCACCAAGGCGAUGAUGGGUAACCGGCCUGANAGGGUGNACGGUCACACUGGAACUGANACACGGNCCAGACUCCUACGGGAGGCANCANNGGGGAAUAUUGCACAAUGGGCGCAAGCCUGAUGCANCGACGUCNCGUGGAGGAUGAAGGUUUUCGGAUUGUAAACUCCUGUUAAACGGGAAGAAAGAGUCACUGUUAAUAGCAGUGGUUGAUGACGUUACCGUUAAAGAAAGCACCGGCUAACUUCGUGCCANCGCCGCGGUAAUACGAAGGGUGCGAGCGUUAUUCGGAAUAACUGGGCGUAAAGGGCGCGUAGGCGGUAUUCUAAGUCGACGGUUAAAGAUCAUAGCUUAACUGUGAAAAGGCCGGCGAUACUGGAGUGCUAGAGGAUAGCAGAGAGGAGUGGAAUUCUCGGAGUAGCGGUAAAAUGCGUAGAUCUCGAGAGGAACACCGAUGGCGAAGGCAGCUCCUUGGGCUAUAACUGACGCUAAUGCGCGAAAGCGUGGGGAGCAAACAGGAUUAGAUACCCUGGUAGUCCACGCUGUAAACGAUGAUUACUGGAUAUGGGGCGUGCUUGCAUGCUCUGUGUCGAAGCUCACGCGUUAAGUAAUCCGCCUGGGAAGUACGGUCGCAAGAUUAAAACUCAAAGGAAUUGACGGGGGUCCGCACAAGCGGUGGAACAUGUGGUUUAAUUCGACACUACGCGAGAAACCUUACCUAGGCUUGACAUGUAUGUGACAGUUGUAGAAAUACAAUCUUNUGGGGAAACUCGGACGCAUACACAGGUGCUGCAUGGCUGUCGUCAGCUCGUGUCGUGAGAUGUUAGGUUAAGUCCUUUAACGAGCGCAACCCUUGCCGUUAGUUGCUCUGCGAAAGCAAGCACUCUAGCGGGACUGCCUUGGGAACAAGGAGGAAGGUGGGGAUGACUUCAAGUCCUCAUGGCCCUUAUGCCUAGGGCUACACACGUGUUACAAUGGUAAGCACAGAGCGAAGCAAGUCCGCGAGGAUGAGCAAACCGCAGAAAACUUAUCUAAGUUCGGAUUGGAGUCUGCAACUCGACUCCAUGAAGUUGAAAUCGCUAGUAAUCGCGCAUCAGAACGGCGCGGUGAAUACGUUCUCGGACCUUGUACACACCGCCCGUCACACUAUGGAAGCCGCUUACACCCGAAGUCACUUUAGCUAACCGUCAAGGAGGC
rnacentral:rRNA from 1 species